GAUGAAGAACGCAGCGAAAUGCGAUAAGUAAUGUGAAUUGCAGAAUUCAGUGAAUCAUCGAAUCUUUGAACGCACAUUGCGCCCGCCAGUAUUCUGGCGGGCAUGCCUGUUCGAGCGUCAUUUCAACCAUCAAGCCCCCGGCUUGUGUUGGGGACCUGCGGCUGCCCGCAGGCCCUGAAAACCAGUGGCGGUCUCGCUGUAGCUUCCUCUGCGUAGUAGCACACCUCGCACUGGGAAACAGCGCGGCCACGCCGUUAAACCCCCAACUUCUGAACGUUUGACCUCGGAUCAGGUAGGAAUACCCGCUGAACUUAAGCAUAUCAAUAAGCGGAGGA
rnacentral:misc_RNA from 1 species